rnacentral:lncRNA from 1 species
CCUUUCGCGCCGGUUGCCGCUGCGGAGCGCGGCGGGUCCAUGUGCGCAGUGAGUGGCGCUAUUCCUGGCCCAGUAGCACCCGAGCCCCGGGUUUGACCGAGUCCGCGCUGCGAUGGACCCCAACACCAUUAUCGAGGCCCUGCGGGGCACUAUGGACCCAGCCCUGCGUGAGGCCGCGGAGCGCCAGCUCAAUGAAACGGAGUUUCGCUCUUGUUGCCCAGACUGGAGUGCAAUGGCACAAUCUCGGCUCGCCACAACCUCCGCCUCCCGGAUUCGGGCAAUUCUCCUGCCUCAGCCUCUUGAGUAGCUGGGAUUACAGGUGUUAUCUAUCUGAAAAAUAUGAUAACACAGUAUUGGCCUGAUCGAGAAACAGCACCAGGGGAUAUAUCCCCUUAUACUAUUCCAGAAGAAGAUCGCCAUUGUAUUCGAGAAAAUAUUGUAGAAGCCAUUAUCCAUUCUCCUGAGCUCAUCAGGGUACAGCUUACUACAUGCAUUCAUCACAUCAUCAAACAUGAUUAUCCAAGCCGCUGGACUGCCAUUGUGGACAAAAUUGGCUUUUAUCUUCAGUCCGAUAACAG